GGCUGCUUUGAGUGCAGUGGUGUUUACAACUAAUUGAUCACAACCAGUUACAGAUUUCUUUGUUCCUUCUCCACUCCCACUGCUUCACUUGACUAGCCUUCU
ensembl:Y_RNA Y_RNA Y RNA